rnacentral:rRNA from 1 species
AUGGGGAAGAAAAAUCCAAAUGCACGUCGGUUUGCCUCAAGCGAACGUGCCCCGUCACUGGAUGUAACAAACUCACCUCUAAAUGCAAAUGCAGAGAGUAGUUCUGCUGCUCGACAGAAAGGUAACCAAUCAUGGUACAUCAGAUUGUCUGAUGAAAAGAAAGCAGAGCUCCUCGAGAAGCGUCGUGUCGCCCGGCGUGAGAAGAAGACUGCAGCCGUACAAAGUGUAAACCAUGCCCGGGUAUCACAAGAACAUGCUUCUUCUGUGGGGUCUGAGCAAUUUGUCCCUUUGAGCAACAUCACCAACACACAUAUAGAUGUUGCAGUAUGUACGGCGGCAAGCUCCGCGGGUACUGCUCAUCUUCACCAAAACAAUAUUGCAGGCAAAAAAAGAAGUCCACAAAGUUGGUAUGCUGGACUAUCCGACGAGCGGCGAGCUGAGUACAUACACAAACAGAAGAUGGCCCGACUCGCAAGGAAAGCAGCAACUGCCGGGGUGAAUGUCCAAUUGCCUACAUCAUCUGCCUCGCAAACUUCAUCUGGUCCUUCUGUGUGUCGCUGCUGUCAGUAUCGGGCUUACUGCUUGGAGAACAGGAGGAGCGUCAGGGCUCUUUGCUGCAUCUGUGGGGGUACUGGCCAGAAGUAG